GAUACAAGUCUUUUUCUUCUGACUUCAAUCCAAGUGGCGCUGCCACUUUUUUCCGGAUAGUCACACUUUCUGGCAAAAGAAUUCAACGAAUCACGUUGAAGGAAUUCCACAGAAGGAACUUUGCCUCACGGAAGAUGGCGUAGCAGUCCUGACCACUCACUUUUGACAACUCCUUCUCAAUCCUGCUUGUGGGCCGGCCCUCUGCAAUGUCACGUCCUACCCUUCCAUCAUGAUCCUGCUUAGCCAAUGACAAAUCGUUUCGAAACUGUUAACUGUCUCUUAUUUUGCAUAUUGGAAUGUUGAUUCAGUUUAUAGCAAACUUUGAAAUAGAAAAAAUAAAUAGUUACCUUGCUGUGAUGUUAUCAAGCACAUAUAAUGAUCUCGAAUUUUUCGGGGCGUGAAGGCGGAGAUUGCUUGUAGAAGUGUUGACGUCAUUUUCAUGAACAUGGAAUGGUUGCUAUGGUGACAGUGAUACAGAGAAGAGCGCCCUCUCAUGGGAAGUAGAAGACAUAAAAGCUUUCUGCUGUAAAGAUAGUUUCUUUUUUGAAUAAGAAAAAAACUUUUAUUUGAUUUCUUCCCUAGUUCGUAACCCCUAAGGUGGUUGCAUGCUAAAGAAUGCGAUGCUUUUAGAAAUUUUCCAUCAGCUAUUGAAUUAGUUUGAUCAUUUGUAGAAGUUAGAAAGAUUUUUGAAAAUUAAACAUGUUAAAAAUACUUGAAAUAUUUUUAUGUUUUGUUUUUAUAUUAUGCAUAUAGAUUGUGAAUGUAUAUGUUUAUAGAAUUAGUAAAUUAUUAUAAAUAGAAUUAAGAAAUGUCCAAAAAAAAAAUUUUCCUCAAAGAUUUUGUAAAUUUAAAUAUGUAGAAGUU